rnacentral:lncRNA from 1 species
GAGGCGUCAAAUCCUAACAGAAAGGUUCCCAUUUUUUAUCACUUACCCAUGUGGGCCUGCUCCGAAAACUCCUUGGAAGUGUGGGUGGAGACUUCAGGAUGUCAAUGGUUGCUGGUAUUCAUAGUCUAGGAAGGAAAAGAGAAAGCAAUGAGCAGCAUAGUAGUCUGUCUUCCAAUUGCAGCCAGCUGGUCUAUCUUGCAAUUGGAAUUUUAGGUGGUGGUGGUGGAAACAUAGGAACCAGACUAACCGAGUCAACAAGGGA